GGGGCCAUAGCUCAGCUGGUAGAGCGCCUGCCUUGCACGCAGGAGGUCAACGGUUCGACUCCGUUUGGCUCCACCA
rnacentral:tRNA from 1 species